rnacentral:rRNA from 1 species
ACGAACGCUGGCGGCGUGGAUAAGACAUGCAAGUCGAACGAGAGAAUUGCUAGCUUGCUAAUAAUUCUCUAGUGGCGCACGGGUGAGUAACACGUGAGUAACCUGCCCCCGAGAGCGGGAUAGCCCUGGGAAACUGGGAUUAAUACCGCAUAGUAUCGAAAGAUUAAAGCAGCAAUGCGCUUGGGGAUGGGCUCGCGGCCUAUUAGUUAGUUGGUGAGGUAACGGCUCACCAAGGCGAUGACGGGUAGCCGGUCUGAGAGGAUGUCCGGCCACACUGGAACUGAGACACGGUCCAGACACCUACGGGUGGCAGCAGUCGAGAAUCAUUCACAAUGGGGGAAACCCUGAUGGUGCGACGCCGCGUGGGGGAAUGAAGGUCUUCGGAUUGUAAACCCCUGUCAUGUGGGAGCAAAUUAAAAGGAUAGUACCACAAGAGGAAGAGACGGCUAACUCUGUGCCAGCAGCCGCGGUAAUACAGAGGUCUCAAGCGUUGUUCGGAAUCACUGGGCGUAAAGCGUGCGUAGGCUGUUUCGUAAGUCGUGUGUGAAAGGCGCGGGCUCAACCCGCGGACGGCACAUGAUACUGCGAGACUAGAGUAAUGGAGGGGGAACCGGAAUUCUCGGUGUAGCAGUGAAAUGCGUAGAUAUCGAGAGGAACACUCGUGGCGAAGGCGGGUUCCUGGACAUUAACUGACGCUGAGGCACGAAGGCCAGGGGAGCGAAAGGGAUUAGAUACCCCUGUAGUCCUGGCAGUAAACGGUGCACGCUUGGUGUGCGGGGAAUCGACCCCCUGCGUGCCGGAGCUAACGCGUUAAGCGUGCCGCCUGGGGAGUACGGUCGCAAGAUUAAAACUCAAAGAAAUUGACGGGGACCCGCACAAGCGGUGGAGUAUGUGGCUUAAUUCGAUGCAACGCGAAGAACCUUACCUGGGCUUGACAUGUAAUGAACAACAUGUGAAAGCAUGCGACUCUUCGGAGGCGUUACACAGGUGCUGCAUGGCCGUCGUCAGCUCGUGUCGUGAGAUGUUUGGUUAAGUCCAGCAACGAGCGCAACCCCUGUUGCCAGUUACCAGCACGUGAAGGUGGGGACUCUGGCGAGACUGCCCAGAUCAACUGGGAGGAAGGUGGGGACGACGUCAGGUCAGUAUGGCCCUUAUGCCCAGGGCUGCACACGUACUACAAUGCCCAGUACAGAGGGGGCCGAAGCCGCGAGGCGGAGGAAAUCCUAAAAACUGGGCCCAGUUCGGACUGUAGGCUGCAACCCGCCUACACGAAGCCGGAAUCGCUAGUAAUGGCGCAUCAGCUACGGCGCCGUGAAUACGUUCCCGGGUCUUGUACACACCGCCCGUCACAUCAUGGAAGCCGGUCGCACCCGAAGUAUCUGAAGCCAACCGCAAGGAGGCAGGGUCCUAAGGUGAGACUGGUAACUGGGAUG